GGGGGCAGGAGAAGAAGGGGACAACAGAGGAUGAGAUGGCUGGAUGGCAUCACCAACUCGAUGGACAUGAGUCUGAGUGAACUCCGGGAGUUGGUGAUGGACAGGGAGCCCUGGCGUGCUGCGAUUCAUGGCGUUGCAAAGACUCAGACAUGACUGAGUGACUGAACUGAACUGAAGGUACUCCUGUCCACUCUCAGCUGGUAUUCUGCAUGCACUUCUGUGUCUGAAGGUGUAUUCCUGAUGUGUCCGUGGAGAGAGAUGUAUUCCACGUCCACCUACUCCUCUGCCAUCUUGGAGAAGAUUCUUGAGAGUCUCUUGGACAGAAAGAGAUCAAACCAGUCAAUCCUAAAGGAAACCAACCCUGAAUAUUCAUUGGAAGGAUUGAUGCUGAAGCUGAAGCUCCAAUACUUUGCCACCUAAUGCAGAGAGCCAACUCAUUGGAAAAGACUCUGAUGCUAGGAAAGACUGAAGGCAAGAGAAGGGGUGUAUGUGUGGGUGUGAACGUGUAACUGAUGAUUUUUUGUAAGCCUCUUAAGGAUUAGAACUUUGCCUAAUUUACAGGGUCUGAGACUGAUUUCCAACCGGGACAGAGGUGGGAAGGGCCAACAAAAAUCAUCUAUGAGUUUCCUCACAAGUACAACCUUUCCCACCUCAACCUCCCUCUCCUGGAAGAUUCUGAGACAAUCAUCAAAAUGAGCCAUGAUUACUGAUGAGAACCUAUGUUAUUCCUGAGAUGUUUUUGCAUAAGAAAAAUGAUGAAAAACCAG
ensembl:lncRNA